CAGCUCUCCGAGUAGUGUGGACGUUUAUUGGGCCUAAAGCGUCCGUAGCUUGCUAGAUAAGUCCUCUGUUAAAUCCACCGAUUCAAUCGUUGGAUUGCGGGGGAUACUGUUUGGCUAGGGGACGGGAGAGGUCGACGGUAUUUCCGGGGUAGGGGUGAAAUCCUAUAAUCCCGGGAGGACCACCAGUGGCGAAGGCUGUCGACUAGAACGCGCCCGACGGUGAGGGAUGAAAGCUGGGGGAGCGAACCGGAUUAGAUACCCGAGUAGUCC
rnacentral:rRNA from 1 species